rnacentral:tRNA from 1 species
AAAGUAAUAGUUAAAAAAUAACAGUAGUUUGUCACGUUACAAUUGCCAGCCUAUAAAUUGGCUUACUUUA